UAGUAACUUUUAGAUAUUUAGAGUCACUUUUAUUAGAUAUUGGUGACUCUUAAAGUCUUAUUUUGUUUCUUUUAUUUGGUGUUUAGGGCAUAUAUUAUAUAAAUCUUAUAAGAAAAAGAAUUGGAGAAGAGUCUUGGUAGCAAAAAAGAGAAGUUACGGCAUCCAUGUCGAUGAAUGGAAAUAGAUGAUGAAAAUCUCCAUUCCUAUUAGUCAAAAAUCAUGACCAAUGGGCUUCAAAGAGGCUGCUUGAGGCCAUAUUAGGGAUUAGGAUUAGUUUUUCAGGGGCAUUUGAGCUUUGGAGGCUAGAAUCAGCAAGUUUAGGUUUUUAGCUACAGUUUUGUUGCAAAUUUUGAGUCAUUUGGAGUUUAUAUGAAAGAGAUAUGGACGCUCAAAGUUAGGGUAUUGAUUUUGUACCUAUUGUCACUCUUUUGGAUAUAACACACGCGUACAAAAAGCAACAGAGGAUCAACGACUAGGAUUGGAGAGAACACUCUCUCGGCUAUACUAUUAGUAUAUUUUUUGAUGGAUUUCAAGUUUAGAUGAAGGAGAUAUUGGAGGUUGAAGUCAAUGCUUGCAAAAUUAAGGGUAGUAAGUGACAUGAAUUGCUAGUAGUUGUAUUUUGAGCUAUAUCUUGUGUAAUUUGACAAGAUUUUGGCUAAAAAUUUCUAAGAAUGUAUAUUUUUAUGUCAUUAAACUUUAUAUAUAAGUUUUGUGAGAUUUGGAUUUUGGGUUUGUGAGAUAUGAAGGAAAUAGUACUUAGGUGCUUAUGAAUUAGGGUUUUAGAAUACCUACUAAAGUUUUUAAGAUGCAAGAUGGUUGUUAGCAAAUUUAUGGUUGAUUUUUUGUAAGAUAAAGCUUAAGGGUGAAUUCUAUAAUAUUUUUGAAUUUAGCAAAAUUUGAACAGUUGGAUCAAGAGUUAUGAAUUUCUAAAAUUUGAGAAGAAAAAAUUCUUUGUAGGAAUAUUAUAUUUUGAAGGGAUUUUAUUAUGACUUGAGCAUUUUAUACAAAGUAAAUGAGUAUUUUUGGAGCCAAGAUUUUAUAUAUAUAUAUUGAAGAUGGAUAUAUGGAGCUAUGCUUGAGUUUUUAUAUAAAGAUG
rnacentral:lncRNA from 1 species